rnacentral:lncRNA from 1 species
AACGUGACUAAUACACUGGACACUGCUUCAUGGAGUUGUUGAAUGGGAAACAGAAAAAACAGCUCAAACCCCUUCGUCGGGACUCUCAAGCAGUGUCUCAGUCUGAAUAUUAAAUGAAGCAAAAAUCUACACUCUUUUUCUACUAGGCACACUAAAAACAACAAAAAGGAGGUGGCAGAACAUUGCAGGACCGUGCCCAGGAACAGAGAGAAAUAUUUUAUUGUACUAUUGGUAUUGGAAUAAUUCCCUAAAACGGUAACUGACUGAAAUACCACAGUUUUAAGUUUUUAGCCUGAAACUUUAGUAUUGCCACAAACCAUCCUUCUAAUGCAACCUUGCAUCCUUCUAAACUAAUGCAGCUUGCCUGUUUAGUGCAAGUUCUCUUCGCAGGACACUUUCUUUGCUCUCUUUUGGAUUUCUGCAGAUUCACAGGACAAUCUGGACGCAUGGACUGGAGCAAAGAUACGAAGCCUAGGUAUUUUUGCUACCUCCCCACACCCUUCAUAGUUCAAAGAGCGGCAAUGAAUGCUGCUAAGAGACCACAGCACUGCGUGCGCCACACAGAG